rnacentral:piRNA from 1 species
UUGGGAAGUUCCUUUUGCAAC